AACAGGGAUUGCCCCAGUAACGGCGAGUGAAGCGGCAACAGCUCAAAUUUGAAAUCUGGCUCUCGGGCCCGAGUUGUAAUUUGUAGAGGAUGCUUUUGGUGAGGUGCCUUCCGAGUUCCCUGGAACGGGACGCCAUAGAGGGUGAGAGCCCCGUCUGGUUGGACGCCGAACCUCUGUAAAGCUCCUUCGACGAGUCGAGUAGUUUGGGAAUGCUGCUCUAAAUGGGAGGUAUAUGUCUUCUAAAGCUAAAUACCGGCCAGAGACCGAUAGCGCACAAGUAGAGUGAUCGAAAGAUGAAAAGAACUUUGAAAAGAGAGUUAAACAGUACGUGAAAUUGUUGAAAGGGAAGCGCUUGUGACCAGACUUGGGCUUGGUUGAUCAUCCGGGGUUCUCCCCGGUGCACUCUUCCGGCCCAGGCCAGCAUCAGUUCGCCCUGGGGGACAAAGGCAUCGGGAACGUGGCUCUCUCCGGGGAGUGUUA
rnacentral:rRNA from 1 species